rnacentral:rRNA from 1 species
CCCCGAGAAGAAGCGCCGGCUACUCCGUCCAGCAGCCGCGGUAAUACGGAGGGCGCAAGCGUUAAUCGGAAUGACUGGGCGUAAACGUGCGCAGGCGCCGCGGAAGUCGGAUGUGAAAGCCCGGGCUCAACCCGGGACUGCGUUCGAAACUCCGCGGCUCGAGUCCGGCAGAGGAAGGUGGAAUUCCGCGUGUAGCGGUGAAAUGCGUAGAGAUGCGGAAGAACACUAAUGGCGAAGGCAUCCUUCUGGGCCGGCACUGACGCUGAGGCACGAAAGNCGUGGGUAGCAAACAGAGAUUAGAUACCCNUGGUAGUC